CUAGAGCAGUGGGUCACCUAAUACCGUUCCUGCUGGCAGAACAUGAUGUUCAAUGGAAGGAAACAAUUAUACAGGGCAAUAAACCUGACUUCAAGAUGUCAGAGGAAGAGGAUUCAUAUCUGAAUGUUAAAAGAUCUCUGAAAAGGAGAAUGGUGAAACACAGCACCCCAGUGGACUCAAUGCUUUCAAGAACAACUCCAUCUCUUAUAGAUCUGACAAAUCAGUCAAUCAAGGACCAAGAUGCCACAAAGAGAGUUUAUGGAUCUCCAAUGCCAAAAUCAGAUCUAAGCAGAUCAUUAUCUCAAGUGUCAUCAGUGCGUGUUGAUGCAUACAUCCCUCACAUGUCCCCGAAAAGGCUUUCAACAGCAUUUGAUUUGCAAGAAUUAAAUAAAGAGAAAACUCAAAGCUCUCAGCUUGUAUUUUCUAGAAGGAGGCUUUCUACUGUGUUGGCCUCUGAUGAAUCAAAUCAAGAGCCAGCUCAUAAGGUUGUCCCAGAUAUAGAAACUCAAGCUACCACCAAAACAUCUGUGGAUGCUGCAGCAACUCCCAAGAGUAGACCUUCAUGGCUUGUUUCUGGAAUACCAGGGAUAAAAGAUCCGCUGCCAGCAAAAUCCAGAAAGAAGAAAAUUGAUAAAACUCUUCAGAGAAAGAAAGAAAGAGAAUGGCUGCUUCGUCAACUUAAAAACAUUGAGGAGGCAACUAAACACGAACUGACAAUUGAAGAAAUUUGAUUGGGCCACCUGUGGGAUAAGUGCUGUCACAUUCAUCAUGUUACAACAGUUACAUUCCUGCUAUGGACAAAACUGACUAAUAAAUCACACAACAGCAUCA
rnacentral:lncRNA from 1 species